rnacentral:rRNA from 1 species
AACGAACGCUGGCGGCAUGCCUAACACAUGCAAGUCGAACGAGACCUUCGGGUCUAGUGGCGCACGGGUGCGUAACGCGUGGGAACCUGCCCUUAGGUUCGGAAUAACUCCCCGAAAGGGGUGCUAAUACCGGAUAAUGUCUUCGGACCAAAGAUUUAUCGCCUUUGGAUGGGCCCGCGUUUGAUUAGCUAGUUGGUAGGGUAAACGCCUACCAAGGCGACGAUCCAUAGCUGGUCUGAGAGGAUGAUCAGCCACACUGGGACUGAGACACGCCCCAGACUCCUACGGGAGGCAGCAGUGGGGAAUAUUGGACAGUGGGCGAAAGCCUGAUCCGGCAAUGCCGCGUGAGUGAUGAAGGCCUUAGGGUUGUAAAGCUCUUUUACCCGGGAUGUUAAUGACAGUACCGGGAGAAUAAGCUCCGGCUAACUCCGU